rnacentral:tRNA from 1 species
UGGGGUGUAGAUCAGUGGUAGAGCACAUGCCUUGCAUACAUGAGGUUCCAGGUUCAGUCCCCGGCACCUCCA